AACUUGUUAAGACUGAGUGCAGUGGGACAU
rnacentral:piRNA from 1 species